UGGGUAACCUACCUAUAAGACUGGGAUAACUUCGGGAAACCGGAGCUAAUACCGGAUAAUAUUUCGAACCGCAUGGUUCGAUAGUGAAAGGUGGUUUUGCUAUCACUUAUAGAUGGACCCGCGCCGUAUUAGCUAGUUGGUAAGGUAACGGCUUACCAAGGCGACGAUACGUAGCCGACCUGAGAGGGUGAUCGGCCACACUGGAACUGAGACACGGUCCAGACUCCUACGGGAGGCAGCAGUA
rnacentral:rRNA from 1 species